UGUGGCUCAACCAUAGAAUUGCCGUUGAAACUGGGAGGCUUGAGUAUGUUUGAGGCAGGCGGAAUGCGUGGUGUAGCGGUGAAAUGCUUAGAUAUCACGCAGAACCCCGAUUGCGAAGGCAGCCUGCCAAGCCAUGACUGACGCUGAUGCACGAAAGCGUGGGGAUCAAACAGGAUUAGAUACCCUGGUAGUCCACGCAGUAAACGAUGAUCACUAGCUGUUUGCGAUACACUGUAAGCGGCACAGCGAAAGCGUUAAGUGAUCCACCUGGGGAGUACGCCGGCAACGGUGAAACUCAAAGGAAUUGACGGGGGCCCGCACAAGCGGAGGAACAUGUGGUUUAAUUCGAUGAUACGCGAGGAACCUUACCCGGGUUUGAACGCAUUUCGACCGCUCUGGAAACAGAGCCUCUAGCAAUAGCGAUUUGCGAGGUGCUGCAUGGUUGUCGUCAGCUCGUGCCGUGAGGUGUCGGCUUAAGUGCCAUAACGAGCGCAACCCUUGCCACUAGUUACUAACAGGUGAUGCUGAGGACUCUGGUGGGACUGCCAGCGUAAGCUGCGAGGAAGGCGGGGAUGACGUCAAAUCAGCACGGCCCUUACAUCCGGGGCGACACACGUGUUACAAUGGCGUGGACAAAGGGAGGCCACCUGGCGACAGGGAGCGAAUCCCCAAACCACGUCUCAGUUCGGAUCGGAGUCUGCAACCCGACUCCGUGAAGCUGGAUUCGCUAGUAAUCGCGCAUCAGCCAUGGCGCGGUGAAUACGUUCCCGGGCCUUGUACACACCGCCCGUCAAGCCAUGGGAGCCGGGGGUACCUGAAGUCCGUAACCGCGAGGAUCGGCCUAGGGUAAAACUGGUGACUGGGGCUAAGUCGUAACAAGGUAGCCGUACCGGAAGGUGCGGCUG
rnacentral:rRNA from 1 species